rnacentral:rRNA from 1 species
UACAUGGGGUGCAAACGUUGCUCGGAAUUAUUGGGCGUAAAGCGCGCGUAGGCGGUUACUCAAGUCGGAUGUGAAAGCCCUCGGCUUAACUGAGGAAGUGCACCCGAAACUGAGUAGCUAGAGUACUAAAGAGGGUCGCGGAAUUCCCGGUGUAGAGGUGAAAUUCGUAGAUAUCGGGAGGAACACCGGUGGCGAAGGCGGCGACCUGGGUAGAUACUGACGCUGAGGCGGCGAAAAGCGUGGGGAGCAAACAGGG